rnacentral:rRNA from 1 species
GAUGAACGCUGGCGGCGUGCCUAAUACAUGCAAGUCGAGCGAAUGGAUUAAGAGCUUGCUCUUAUGAAGUUAGCGGCGGACGGGUGAGUAACACGUGGGUAACCUGCCCAUAAGACUGGGAUAACUCCGGGAAACCGGGGCUAAUACCGGAUAACAUUUUGAACCGCAUGGUUCGAAAUUGAAAGGCGGCUUCGGCUGUCACUUAUGGAUGGACCCGCGUCGCAUUAGCUAGUUGGUGAGGUAACGGCUCACCAAGGCAACGAUGCGCAGCCGACCUGAGAGGGUGAUCGGCCACACUGGGACUGAGACACGGCCCAGACUACUACGGGAGGCAGCAGUAGGGAAUCUUCCGCAAUGGACGAAAGUCUGACGGAGCAACGCCGCGUGAGUGAUGAAGGCUUUCGGGUCGUAAAACUCUGUUGUUAGGGAAGAACAAGUGCUAGUUGAAUAAGCUGGCACCUUGACGGUACCUAACCAGAAAGCCACGGCUAACUACGUGCCAGCCGCCGCGGUAA